rnacentral:rRNA from 1 species
AUUGAACGCUGGCGGCAUGCCUUACACAUGCAAGUCGAACGGCAGCACGGACUUCGGUCUGGUGGCGAGUGGCGAACGGGUGAGUAAUAUAUCGGAACGUGCCCUAGAGUGGGGGAUAACGUAGCGAAAGUUACGCUAAUACCGCAUACGAUCUAAGGAUGAAAGUGGGGGAUCGCAAGACCUCAUGCUCGUGGAGCGGCCGAUAUCUGAUUAGCUAGUUGGUGGGGUAAAAGCCUACCAAGGCGACGAUCAGUAGCUGGUCUGAGAGGACGACCAGCCACACUGGGACUGAGACACGGCCCAGACUCCUACGGGAGGCAGCAGUGGGGAAUUUUGGACAAUGGGGGCAACCCUGAUCCAGCAAUGCCGCGUGUGUGAAGAAGGCCUCGGGUUGUAAGCACUUUUGGCGGGACGAAACGGUGGGGGCUAAGUAUCCUCUGCUAAUGACGGUACCGCAGAAUAGCACCGGCUAACGUACGUGCCAGCAGCCGCGG